rnacentral:rRNA from 1 species
CCUACGGGAGGCAGCAGUGGGGAAUAUUGGACAAUGGGGGCAACCCUGAUCCAGCCAUGCCGCGUGUGUGAAGAAGGCCCUCGGGUUGUAAAGCACUUUUAGUGAGGAAGAACGCCUGGUGGUUAAUACCCAUCAGGAAAGACAUCACUCACAGAAGAAGCACCGGCUAACUCCGUGCCAGCAGCCGCGGUAAUACGGAGGGUGCGAGCGUUAAUCGGAAUUACUGGGCGUAAAGCGCGCGUAGGUGGCUUGAUAAGCCGGUUGUGAAAGCCCCGGGCUCAACCUGGGAACGGCAUCCGGAACUGUCAAGCUAGAGUGCAGGAGAGGAAGGUAGAAUUCCCGGUGUAGCGGUGAAAUGCGUAGAGAUCGGGAGGAAUACCAGUGGCGAAGGCGGCCUUCUGGACUGACACUGACACUGAGGUGCGAAAGCGUGGGUAGCAAACAGGAUUAGAUACCCGGGUAGUC